UUGGAGGGCAAGUCUGGUGCCAGCAGCCGCGGUAAUUCCAGCUCCAAUAGCGUAUAUUAAAGUUGUUGCAGUUAAAAAGCUCGUAGUUGAACUUCGGGAUCAAUUGAUUGGUCAUGCCAUUGGUAUGUACUGGUCAUAUUGGUUCUCACCUUCUAAGGAACCAUAAUGUCAUUAAUUUGAUGUUUUGGGGAAUUAGGACUGUUACCUUGAAAAAAUUAGAGUGUUUAAAGCAGGCUAACGCUUGAAUACAUUAGCAUGGAAUAAUGAAAUAGGAUAUCGCAUUCUAUUUUGUUGGUUUCUAGGAUCGAUGUAAUGAUUAAUAGGGAUAGUUGGGGGCAUUAGUAUUCAAUUGUCAGAGGUGAAAUUCUUGGAUUUAUUGAAGACUAACUACUGCGAAAGCAUUUGCCAAGGAUGUUUUCAUUAAUCAAGAACGAAAGUUAGGGGAUCGAAGACGAUCAGAUACCGUCGUAGUCUUAACCAUAAACUAUGCCGACUAGGGAUCGGAUGAUGUUGAUUUUUUAAUGACUCAUUCGGCGCCUUACGGGAAAC
rnacentral:rRNA from 1 species